UACGUAGGGUGCGAGCGUUGUCCGGAAUUAUUGGGCGUAAAGAGCUUGUAGGCGGUUUGUCGCGUCUGCCGUGAAAAUCCGGGGCUCAACCCCGGACCUGCGGUGGGUACGGGCAGACUAGAGUGUGGUAGGGGAGACUGGAAUUCCUGGUGUAGCGGUGAAAUGCGCAGAUAUCGGGAAGAACACCCGUGGCGAAGGCGGCACUCUGGGACGGUACUGACGCUGAGACGCGAAAGCGUGGGGAGCGAACAGG
rnacentral:rRNA from 1 species